rnacentral:rRNA from 1 species
GAUGAACGCUGGCGGCGUGCCUAACACAUGCAAUUCGAGCGAACAGAUAAAGAACUUUGUACUUUGACGUUAGCGGCGGGCGGGGGGGUAACAUGUCCGUAACCUACCUACAAGCCUGGAUUAACUCCUGGAAACCGGUGCUUAGGCAGGAUCACAGCUGGAACCGCAUGGUUCUACAGUGACGGGCGGCUUUGCUGUGACUGAUAGCUGGACCCGGGCCGUAUUAGCUAGUUGUUGCGGUAACGUCUCACAAAGGCCACGAUCCGUAGCCGACCUGAGAGGGUGAUCGGCCACACUGGAACUGAGACACGGUCCAGACUCCUACGGGAGGCAGCAGUAGGGAAUCGUGCGCAAUGGGCGAAAGCCUGACGGAGCAACGCCGCGUGAAUGAUGAAGGUCUUCGGAUCGUAAAACUCUGUUAGCAGGGAAGAACAAAUGCGUAAGUAACUGUGCGCGUCUUGACGGUACCUAAUCAGAAAGCAACGGCUAACUACGUG